UCCCUACCAUAUGUUGGAUGUUAAUUCAAUAGUUUGGGAAGCUAAGGUAUGAGCCACUACAUUGGCUUGUCUCCUAACUGCAGAAAAACAAAUUGAGUGGAGUAUAGAUGCUAGCUGUCUACAAUCAGUGAUAGCCUUUACCACUCCCUCAGUGUCGGAUUCCACUACCCGACAUUCAAUUUCCAACUCCAAAGCCAAACGCAAACUCCAUUGCAGAGCCACCGCCUCUGCAACCGUCAGAUACAAGCGUUGUUGCUCUUCGCUGGAGGCUGCCUCGAGAAAGUUGCCCGUCGAGACUCGAGGACCGGAUCACCAUCCCAAAACCAGAGGAGAAAGAGCCUUACCAGCCUCAUAAUCUUCUAUCCUACAAUUGAAGGAUUUAAAUUCACUGUUCAUGGCCAACUAUUUUUUUUGGACGGGAUAACUAUUGGGCUGGGCCUUGCUGAGAUCAUAGCCUAAACCCUUGCGUGACACCUACUUCAUCAUCCUCUGAUAUCCUUUUCCCCUAAUAGCUACCUCUGCUCCUACAUACAAAGCUAUUGUCUAAACCAUCUGCCCAUAAAAAACCUAUGAUGUACUUGUCGUUGUUUCUGGAGCAUGCCAUAGAAUAGAACUCGCGAAUUCCUCCUCUUCCUUGCCUUUUUCCUCCUAUUCUAUUCCUAUGCCAGACGCUUGACGUACAUUCAACUCGCGAUGAUGUCCUUUACAGCUUCUCAAUCUACACUCUAUGCUAUGUACCCUAUUACUCUGUGUUGCUUUACAGACAUGUGAAUCUAUGCCUUUUCCCUUCAAUUCGUAUGUUUAGGGGUAAAUGGGCAAAUGAUGCCAGCGUUCUAUUAAUACUACAGCUUCGUUGCUGAUCUCCCCACACUUUCUAUACUUAUUCUGCUGCUUUGUUUUGACUUAAAGCAUGAUGAGUAUGCUACUGUGUGUUUCUCUUUCGUUUUUACUGCCAUUGAAUGUCGCUUCACAAUUUCUGCCGUAGAGGUGCCGCAUGUUUCCGACUUCAAUGAUGAAUGAUGAGUGUUUUCAUUUGUACUAUGAGAUGCUAUGCGGGAGUCUUUACUUAUCCAUUUUCAAAUCAAACAUGACCUUUGUGAACCAAAUCUUUCAUUUUUCUUUUACUCUAACAUUCUUCUUAUGUUGUUUUUCUGUUUAGGUUCAUGAUAGGAACUGAAAUGUACUAAAGAAAUGACACCCUCCAGAUGCAAAACCACAAGCUUGUGUUAAGCCUUGGAACUGGCGUCAAUGGUUUCACUCUUGACCCGGCUCUUUGUGAGUUUAUCCUGACUCACCCUGACAUUAAGGUCCCAAAGAAAGGCAAGAUUUAUUCUGUGAAUGAAGCAAAUGCCAAAAACUAGGAUGCUCCUACUGCCACAAUGUGAAGACACUAAUGUUGCAGUAAAGAUUGCAUUAAGAACUCCAGUUCAGUAAAGAAUGCAAUACAUUUCAUGAGAACAUCUUCUAUUAUAUACUUUAAUUUAAACCCACCCUAUUGACAUGAUCUCAUGGAGCUUAAUGCGAUUGGAUCCGAGCACAAAUGGCAAUGGGUUUUGCUAGGAGUCUUGGCUCGACCACAAUUCUCUUGGCUAGAUAUUGGAGGAUCCUUACAGCUCUGCAAAUAGCUUGGGCCAAAGAGUUAGAUACAUGAUGAUGGAAUGUUGGUACCAGUUGAGGAGAGAAUAUCAGCUUCAACAGUAUGUCCUCCCUCGGGUGUGAUCAGAAAAUAUUUUCUGUGAAGUUAACAUGCCCGAUGAGACAAAACAAAUAUCAAGUUACACAAGUGGAGGGACAUUUGGAGUUUUGGACACAAAUCCACUUAGGUUGUAUCAUUUUUACGAAAGCCGUUGGUGUUCGUUUGUAACCGCAAAUACUCACUCUGCGUCUGCGAAUGAAGUUUGUGAGGUUGAAAGAAGGUGCGAACAAGCCCUCAGCAAGGCAAAGCAAUUAUAUAUACCCCAUGAUAAGUUAUUAAAUAAGCUAAAGCAAGGGGAAAAAUAAAGAAAACUUGGUGAAAGCUAAUAAGCGUGACAAGGAUGUCAUGAUAAGUUCUCAUGACAAAUCAACUUGAUUGGUAUUGAAUCAACUCUGUCUCAUGUUAGUGAAGUUGACACUCAUCUUGGUGGAAAAGGAAGUGAUAUUGAGAGAAAGCAUGAAUCAACACCUUCACCAAGCAAACAACCACCAACUGGUUCCAAGAAAUCUGUUUCAUAGGGUGAGGAUAUUGAAAUUUUGGUAUUAACACAUCUGGAAGCUGCGGUAAAUUAGGAACGAAAUAGAAGAUGAAUUCAGGAGUGAGGAGCAAUGAAUAAGGGAAGCAAUUGAUUCAAUGAUCGAGAAACCAACCUGGGGAGCUUUCUCAAUGAGUUCCUGAACGUAGUUCUCGCCGAAGCAUCGAUGUCCAGCAUCGUACACCUGUUGAAGGUCAGAAACAGGCUUCGUCUUGCUCGCAGCCACCACCCGGAUCUCCUUCACGUCCCUCCCAGAUCGCUCCGCUGCCUGUUGGACGCGUUCCAGCACCACCGCCUUCAACGAUGGCGAUUGGCCGCCGUCUGUGGUGGCUGAUGAUGCUAUUUUCUUCCUCUCCUCCACCAACCUCUGCAGUAAGCACAACACAUAUAUAAAAUGAACUUAACACCCCGUGUUAAUUAGUUGUUGCCAACCACUUAUUAGCACAUUUUGUGUUAAAAUAAUGGGUUUAAUAUGUUUUUAGUCCCUGUAAAAUA